rnacentral:rRNA from 1 species
AACCUAGAUGUACUUUUACACACACAUCCGCCUGGGUACUACGAGCACAGCUUAAAACCCAAAGGACUUGGCGGUGUCUCAGACCCACCUAGAGGAGCCUGUUCUAGAACCGAUAACCCCCGUUAAACCUCACCACUUCUUGUUUUCCCCGCCUAUAUACCGCCGUCGUCAGCUUACCCUGUGAAGGCCUAGCAGUAAGCAAAGUGGGCUCGCCCCAAAACGUCAGGUCGAGGUGUAGCGCACGAAGUGGGAAGAAAUGGGCUACAUUUUCUACAAUAGAAUAUUACGAAUGGCACCCUGAAACAAAUGCCUGAAGGUGGAUUUAGUAGUAAAAAGCAAAUAGAGUGUCCUUUUGAAUUAGGCUCUGAGACGCGCACACACCGCCCGUCACUCUCCCCUCACACAUCAAACUCAAACCAAACAUUCUUAAUUAAACAUUUAUCAGCACGGGGAGGCAAGUCGUAACAUGGUAAGUGUACCGGAAGGUGCACUUGGAAUAAC